rnacentral:rRNA from 1 species
UACGGAGGGUGCAAGCAUUAAUCGGAUUUAUUGGGCGUAAAGGGCGUGUAGGCGGGUUGGUAAGUCGAAUGUGAAAUUCCAAAGCUCAACUUUGGGACUGCAUUUGAAACUACCGAUCUGGAGGAUUGGCGGAGAAAAUGGAAUUCCACGUGUAGCGGUGAAAUGCGUAGAUAUGUGGAAGAACACCUGUGGCGAAAGCGGUUUUCUAGCUUAUACCUGACGCUGAGGCGCGAGAGCAAGGGGAUCAAACAGG